UACGAAGGGGGCUAGCGUUGUUCGGAAUUACUGGGCGUAAAGGGCGCGUAGGCGGCGUGUCAAGUCAGGCGUGAAAGCCCGGGGCUCAACCCCGGAACGGCAUCCGAGACGGCCAGGCUGGAGACCGGGAGAGGAGAGUGGAAUAGCCAGUGUAGAGGUGAAAUUCGUAGAUAUUGGCUGGAACACCGGUGGCGAAAGCGGCUCUCUGGCCCGGUUCUGACGCUGAGGCGCGAAAGCGUGGGGAGCAAACAGG
rnacentral:rRNA from 1 species